rnacentral:rRNA from 1 species
GAUGAACGCUGGCGGCGUGCCUAAUACAUGCAAGUCGAACGAAACUUCUUUAUCACCGAGUGCUUGCACUCACCGAUAAAGAGUUGAGUGGCGAACGGGUGAGUAACACGUGGGCAACCUGCCCAAAAGAGGGGGAUAACACUUGGAAACAGGUGCUAAUACCGCAUAACCAUAGUUACCGCAUGGUAACUAUGUAAAAGGUGGCUAUACUACCGCUUUUGGAUGGGCCCGCGGUGCAUUAGCUAGUUGGUAGGGUAAAGGCUUACCAAGGCAAUGAUGCGUAGCCGAAUUGAGAGGUUGAUCGGCCACAUUGGGACUGAGACACGGCCCAAACUCCUACGGGAGGCAGCAGUAGGGAAUCUUCCACAAUGGGCGAAAGCCUGAUGGAGCAACGCCGCGUGGGUGAAGAAGGUCUUCGGAUCGUAAAACCCUGUUGUUAGAGAAGAAAGUGCGUGAGAGUAACUGUUCACGUUUCGACGGUAUCUAACCAGAAAGCCACUGCUAACUACGUG